GAAAGAUGCUAUGGGAAGAUGGAGAACUGGAAUGAUGCAUCUACAAGUCAAGAACACCAAAGAUUGUCAGAAAACCACCAGAAGAGACCAUAUGGUAUAAAGUAGAUCCACAAGCUCUUCAAGGACAGGCAAACUUAAACUCAUCAUGAAUCUUGAUUCCAGUACCUGUGUCCCUUUCGCUAUCAAAUAUCCAGGAUGGAAGAGAUUCUGUCUCUAAAAACCCUAGCUUUUGGAAAGAAGAAAAAUGCGGCCUUUCGAGAAGACCACCCGCAGGAGUAGCCCUUCUAAACUUACUUUACCAUGCUUCAUGUUUACUUCCCUGAGAAUUAUCCCUCCCACCAUUAUGAAACCACCGAGCUACAUGAGGUAGCAAAGCUGCCUGCCACCCAAACGGUGACAAAGGGUCAAUGCACAUUCUCUAACACACUCAAGAGGAGAGAUUUGAAAACUCUCAAAUAAAUGAUGACAAAGAAAGAUUUCAGUUAUAUAUCAGGAAACCAAUAUCCAAGCAAAUUACAUACAGCUAUCUGAAACUCCUUAAAUUAUGGAUAAUCCAAAGCUAGUUUCUGUUAAAAAUACAAGAAAAAAAUAAUCUAGAAAAAAAAGAACACACUCUUUUUCUUAUGAAGGGGAUCAGAAUAUGCCCUCCACAUAUGGCACUUUGGCAUGAUUAUUUUGAGCUGAAGUCAAUUAAGAAAGAAUAGAUACAAGAACUCUCUGCCUCCCCCUUUCUGCCUAAAAACAGGGUAUAAACUUCCCUUUGUAAAGAUGUCCCCCACCUUUCCCUUACAAGAAGGAAGACAUGACUCAUUGUGGUGACAGCACUGACUUAAACCUGGAUAAACAAACCUUACUCAAAUAACCCUUGCCUUUCAUUAGUUUCCUCCAUAUGCCUUCCCAUAAUUUAUUAUGCCUAGAAUCUCAAAUCCCUUUUCCUUUGUCUUAUCACUUUUCCACAAUUCAUCACCCUGUAUAUUAAAAUGGUAUAUAAG